GCCUUACAUUGAUGGAUCAGACAGCAGUC
rnacentral:piRNA from 1 species